rnacentral:rRNA from 1 species
UACGAAGGGGGCUAGCGUUGCUCGGAAUUACUGGGCGUAAAGCGCACGUAGGCGGUUUGUUAAGUCGGGGGUGAAAUCCUGGAGCUCAACUCCAGAACUGCCUUCGAUACUGGCGAUCUCGAGUUCGGGAGAGGUGAGUGGAACUGCGAGUGUAGAGGUGAAAUUCGUAGAUAUUCGCAAGAACACCAGUGGCGAAGGCGGCUCACUGGCCAGAUACUGACGCUGAGGUGCGAAAGCGUGGGGAGCAAACAGG